GGAGAGGUGGCUGAGUGGUUGAAAGCGGCGGUCUUGAAAACCGUUGUGCCGCAAGGUACCCUGAGUUCGAAUCUCAGCCUCUCCG
rnacentral:tRNA from 6 species